UACAACCAAUAGAGCCUUAGGUCAAUGGCAGUACACACACACACACACCAGACACCAGACAAAAAUCCUUACAGUGCCCUGGAACCCAGAACGGGAGGUGUAGCCUGCUGGGUGCUCAGGGAAUGAGCCAGAGCAUAUGUGCUGCAUUUGAAUAAAGGCAUGGAUGGCAUGCUUAAUAAAUUAGCAGAUGACAGGAAGCUGGGAAUAACAGCUAAUACAGUAGAUGAUAGAAAGGAAUCCAAUAAGAUUCUAACAAGUUAGAGAAUUGGGCUGAAAUUUAUAAGAUAAAAUUCCAUAGGGAUCAAUGUAAAGUCUUAAGCUUAGGUGUACAAAAAAUAAUCAACUUCACAAGUAAGAGAAGGGGGAGAGACUGUUGGGCAGAAGCUUAUCUGAAACAGAUCAGGGGGUUCAAGUGAAUUGCAAGCUUGAUAGGAGUCAGCAGUGAUACAGCAGCCAAAAAAGUUAAUGAGAUUUCGGUCAAAAUUAAGUGGGCCAGGAAUUCCAAGAACAAGGAGGUGAUAGUCUUUCUGAACUCUGUCCUUGUCAGACUUUAUCUGGAUUUUUGUGCUCAGUUGGGCACCUCAGUUUUAAAAUGGGCAUUGAUAAGUUGGAGAGGGUCCAGAAGAGGGCACCCAAGAUGGUGAAGAGCCUUGAGCUCCUGCUGUUUGAGGAAUGACUGAAGGAACUGGGAAUGCUGAACCUGCAAGAAGAGAAGACUCAUCAGACUUGUUUUCUUUGACUCCACAAGUACAAAGAUUGUUCUCCUUGGCCAAGAAAACUGAAGCAAAGUAAUAAAGGGCCACCAACUUCAAAUGUAAAAGUCACAAUCAGCAUCCCAUUGAUCUCACACAGCCCAGGAACUGACCUGAGAAGAUAUACUAAAAAAAAGCACCUAGAUGAAGCAUUCUGGGAAGAUGGCAGAGUAGGUCAGAAAUUUAUAGGCUCUUUAAAUUUUCUUCACAGACAGAACAACACCACGAAAUGAACUUAGAGCAGCAAAAGUAAAGGGGUAAUGCAACUCUCUUUCUAAGACAACUUAAGAGGACCUCAGGAAAGACAGGAUCUUCAGAGGCCGAAGUCUGGCCUGAGUGAAGUGUAGGUACCUCAAGUCCAACUCUGCUGAAUCAACAAACAGCAGGCCCUGGAGGCAACUCUUUUGGGUAGCUGACUAGGCCUCAAGAAAUUUCACCUUACAAAAUUUUCACCUCACCAACUUUCAUCUAACAAAAAGCUUGGAGAUCAGAUGGCUGAGUGGGGGAAGACUGAAAGACACCUGCUGUUUCUGGACACCAGGCCUGGCAGUGCUGACCAGACAUGAUCCUAGGCUGUGGCUAUGGGCAAGGAGGAGCAAGCACAUGCCAGUGAGUGAGGUAUCUCAGGAAGCAAGAACAUUUUUAGGGUAUGAUUGGAAGCCCUAACUAUGAUUUAGGGGAGGAGAGGAGUGCCUGAGGUUGAACGCCUGGAUAGAACUCAGAAAAUAACCAUAAGGAAGACCUCAGGCCUGGGUCACCAUUACCCACAAGUCAGGAUUAAAAACUGAUUACAAUAAUAAGCUGCUAAAAAUAGAAUAAAACAAAAUAAUAAAGAGUAAGCAAAGGCAAAAGAGUCCCACCAUAGACAGCUACUAUGGUAUAAAAGAAGAUCUGGGUUCAGAGGAAGAUUCUGAGGUUAAAAAAGCUAUUCCUACCCCUAAGAAUUACAUCAAAUGGUCACAAUUCCAAAAAGAGCAUUUGGAAUAUCUUUUAAAAGGACUUAAAAAUCAAAUCUGAGAGAUUGAGGAAAAUUAGGAAAAAAAAGUAAAACAAUC